CAUUGCAGGCUGAACAGACCACCGAGCAAACUGGUACAUGCAGCUGACAAGCUGUUAGUCUUCAGAUAUCCUCUCAUCAAAAGCCAGAGCACGCAGGCUGACUCUGCUGCACUUUUUUUUGGUUGGGGGCGCGUUCACAGAAGCAGGGACUCUGGUGGUCCUCUGAUGGGCGUUCCUACUGCUGGAUCCUGUUGGAUCUCCGGUGGACAUACCUUAAUCAUCUGCACUAUAUAAGGCCCGGCUCACCCACUAACUUUCUUGCUUGUCUCAAACUCAGAUUAGAAGAAACACCUUAGCUUGUUAUGGAAAUGAAUAAAAAUCCUGAAACAA